GUGGGGAAUUUUGGACAAUGGGCGCAAGCCUGAUCCAGCCAUGCCGCGUGCAGGAUGAAGGCCUUCGGGUUGUAAACUGCUUUUGUACGGAACGAAAAGACUCUUUCUAAUAAAGAGGGUCCAUGACGGUACCGUAAGAAUAAGCACCGGCUAACUACGUGCCAGCAGCCGCGGUAAUACGUAGGGUGCGAGCGUUAAUCGGAAUUACUGGGCGUAAAGCGUGCGCAGGCGGUGAUGUAAGACAGAUGUGAAAUCCCCGGGCUCAACCUGGGAACUGCAUUUGUGACUGCAUCGCUGGAGUGCGGCAGAGGGGGAUGGAAUUCCGCGUGUAGCAGUGAAAUGCGUAGAUAUGCGGAGGAACACCGAUGGCGAAGGCAAUCCCCUGGGCCUGCACUGACGCUCAUGCACGAAAGCGUGGGGAGCAAACAGGAUUAGAUACCCGAGUAGUCC
rnacentral:rRNA from 1 species